AAUAGUGUCGUCUCCAAUUAUUUACAGUGCCUCUUCCCCCAUUGUCUCCUUUGGGUUCUCCAUUUCUCCUCACUGUUUGCCCAAAAACCCUUUCUGUCCGCCAUUACAACACUUUCUUCACCUCCAAACCCGAAAUCCUCACAAGAGGGAGAGAGACCAAACCCUAACAAACACUCAUCUCUUCUCCUCUCCUCUCCUCUCUUCUUCUUCUCCCCCGCAUUUUCAUGUCUUCUAUUGUCUUCCUGGUCUCCUGCAUUUGGCUCCCGAUUCACACCCUUCGGCGCCGCUUCUUCUCCGAUGGCCUCCUCAUUGGCUCUCCUCUAGCCUUUCCUGCUCCAGUCUUCGAAUAUGACUGAUCCCAAGGUUUUCAUCUUUGGGUCAUUCACAGAAGAUGAGAUUAGAUCUUUGCAAGGGCACCCAAUGAAGAAUGAGGGGAGCUCAACCAUUCAAGGUUUUUAGUAAGGAGAACUCCAAAAAUACUUCUGGCAGUACUGAAAAAGCAUCAAUACCAGUAAUCUUCUCACAAGAAAAUGGAAGCAUAGGUGGUUCAGAUCUGGGUUACCAUAGUACUGCCCAAGAAGUGAAACCUUGCAACAAAGCACAUCAGUUGUUGAGUUCUAAAGGUGCUUCUGUCACACCAAACGAAUCAAGUAUAAAGCAGGAAUCAACUGUGAAUGUGACUAACUUAUCAACCUCCUUGGAUGGGGUUUCAUUGGAUGAAUCAAAGGACUUUAGUGUAGGGAAUUGCAGACAAAAUGUUGUAAAAGCAUCAAAUGGGCCUGUUAAUACAAUUAGAUAUUUACUACCUCGAGGUUUAGUGAACUUGGGCAACCUGUGCUUUCUCAAUGCGACCCUUCAGGCCCUGCUUUCUUGUGCUCCAUUUGUUCAACUCUUGCAGGAACUUAGAACUCGUGAGAUACCGGAGAGUGGGUAUUCUACGUUGCGUGCAUUUGUUGAGUUUAUCUCUGAUUUCGAUAUGCCCCUCAAAUUAAAUUUGAAGAGAAAAGAUCCGGUAUUUAUAGAGACUGGGAAGCCUUUCCGCCCUCUGAUGUUUGAAUCAGUUUUGAAAAGUUCCACUCCAGAUGUCCCAAACAGCUUGACUGGCAGACCAAGGCAAGAAGAUGCUCAAGAAUUCCUCAGUUUUAUUAUGCAUCAGAUGCAUGAUGAAUUGCUGAAAUUAGAAGGUCAGUUGCCAAAUGGUGUUGGAAGGAACUCCUCUUUGGUUUCAUCUGUACAUGUGGAUGAUGAUGAAAAUUGGGAAACUGUUGGCCCACGGAAUAAGACUGCAAUUACCAGGACACAGAGCUUUGUCCCUUCAAAAUUAAGUCAAAUUUUUGGUGGUCAGUUGAAGAGCAUUGUGAAGGCAAGAGUGGGUUGCAAAGUUCCAGCAGAUAUGAGAAUGAUAGAGAUUUUGAGUGAUCAACUGCGUGAUGACCAGGCAAUUCUUACAGGCAAAUGAGGAUUGUAAUUGCUACAGCUUUGAUGCUAGAAAACUAAAUGAAGCUAAAUGUGUUCACAAGGAUCAUGUUUCCUCAGUGUAAGAGAAUGUCUUGUUAUUUGCAAAACCAGUACCUAUAUCCUGAUUUGUGGCUACCAUUGUUGAAAAUCUGGGGCGUUUAAAUUAUGACCUCAAAAUCUCAACCGCUUGACAAUGCUAAUUUUGCAAAUGUACAAGAAGAAAUUUAGAAUUUGAAGGCUACUAUUACAUUGUUGUAUAGAUUUUGAAUUGACUAUUAUUACUUAAUAAAUAUGGAUUGAUAAUGUAUUAUUACUUGCA